GCUUUUUCCGGUCUUUUCCAAGCUCAGCCGAGAAGCGAGGCAGCUGCAAGCUGUGAGAAGAGAACAAAAACGGUAGAAAACGCGGAGAAUAAAGAGGGUCGGAACACAUCCACUGGAGGCACGGAGCCGUGUGACUGAACAAAGGAGAAACGUUACGUCGGCUAAUCGUUUACCCUUCGUCUGGAGAGCUGUUGCGAAGCGUGAUACCAGCGUGUUCCGCCUUGAUAUUCACAGAGCAACGGUCAGGUUUUUUUAGUUGAGAGCAGUUCAACUGUGGUCCAGGACAACCUUCUGGCUGAAACCGAUGGCGAGCCAAGUUCCCUGAAGAAAGUCAAGCACCAGGAUAUACAUGUACCCAUUCAUACUCACAUUGAACAGUUAGAUUACAAUACAAGGAACCUUGGAAUUUGAACUGAACUGCGGUAACUCUGAAACAGAGCACCUGAAGAGAACUUUCCAUACCAUUUUAUUUUUAAGGGCCCAGGGACAAUAUUUUAUUUUUCUACACUGAGUGCAGAAUUAUUAGGCAAGUGAGUAUUUUGACCACAACAUCCUUUUAAUGCAUGUUGUCCCACUCCAAGCUGUUUAGGCUUGAAAGCCUACUACCAAUUAAGUAUAUUAGGUGCUGUGCAUCUGUGUAAUGAGAGGGGGUGUGGUCUAAUGACAUCAACACCCUAUAUCAGGUGUGCAUAAUUAUUAGGCAACCUCUUUUCCUCUGGCAAAAUGGGUCAGAAGAGAGAUCUGACAGACUUUGAAAAGUCUAAAAUUAUGAGAUGUCUUGCAGAUGGAUGCAGCACUCUUGAAAUUGCGAAGAUGUUGAAACGUGAUCACCGAACAAUCAAGCGUUUCAUUGCAAAUAGUCAACAGGGUCGAAAGAAGCGUGUGGAAAAAAAAAGGCGCAAAAUAACUGCACAUGAUCUGCGGAAAAUCAAGCGUGAAGCUAACAAGCAGCCAUUAGCAUCCAGUUCUGCCAUAUUCCAGAGUUGCAACAUUCCUGGAGUGUCAAAGAGUACAAGGUGUGCAAUACUGAGGGACAUGGCCAAGGUAAGGAAGGCUGAAAAACGACCACCACUGCGUAAGGCACACAAGAUAAAACGUCAAGACUGGGCCAAGAAAUAUCUUAAGACUGAUUUUUCUAAGGUGCUGUGGUCUGAUGAGAUGAGAGUGACUCUUGAUGGGCCAGAUGGAUGGGCCUGUGGCUGGAUCAGUAAUGGGCACAGAGCUCCACUCUGACUCAGACGCCGUGGAGGUGGAGUACUGCUAUGGGCUGUUUUCAUCAAAGAUGAGCUUGUUGGACCUUUUCAAGUUGAGGAUGGACUCAAACUCAACUCCCAGACCUACUGCCAGUUCCUGGAAGAAACCUUCUUCAAGCAGUGGUAUAGGAAAAAGUCAGCAUCUUUCAAGAAGAACAUGAUUUUCAUGCAGGAUAAUGCUCCAUCUCAUGCGUCCAAAUACUCCACUGCGUGGCUAGCCAGUAAAGGCCUGAAAGGUGAAAAAAUAAUGACAUGGCCCCCUUGUUCACCUGACCUAAACCCCAUAGAGAACCUGUGGUCCAUUAUAAAACGUGAGGUCUACAAAGAGGGAAAACGGUACACCUCUCUGAACAGCGUCUGGGAGGCCGUGGUUGCUGCUGCACACAAUGUUGGUCGUGAACAGAUAAAGAAAUUGACAGAAUCUAUGGAUGGAAGGCUUUUGAGUGUCCUCAUGAAGAAGGGUGGCUAUAUUGGUCACUGGUUUGUUUUUGUUUUGUGUUUGAAUGUCAUAUGUUUAUUUGCAAAUCUGGAGUUGUCAUAUCAGUGUACCUGGUGAAAAUAAAUAAGUGAAAUGGCUACAUAUUUGGUUUUUAUUAAGUUGCCUAAUAAUUCUGCACAGUGAAAGUUACCUGAACACAUACAUAUUCUCCUAAAAUGGCCAAAACUAAAAACACCCCACUCUAACUUCCAUACAUAUUCAGCUUUGAUAUUUGAGACUUUUUGGUUGACUGAGAACAUAGUUGUUGUUCAAUUAUAAAAUUAAUCCUCAAAAAUACAACUUGCCUAAUAAUUCUGCACUCAGUGUAGUGUGCACACUACCUUGUAUUUUUCUAAUUGUUUGGGGUAUUUUGUACUUUGUAAACAAUAUAAGAGUGGCUACUCAACUUUCA